GUGGCCUAGUCGUUAGAGUAUCUGCCUUGGAUGCGGGAGGUCGCGGGUUCGAACCCUGUGAAAGUCA